GAAGUGUGUCUCUUUUAUAGCUAGUAUAGAAGAAAGGAAUCCUUAGAGGCUGAGGCUAGUGCAGACCACACAGUGAGUUUGAGGCCAACCUGGGCUAUCUCAAAACCACAAAAUGUAGAGUAUAGGGUCAGUCGACAGGGAUCGGUUUGACAGGGCCUCAGAGACCAUGCUGCCCGCUGCUCUUUAACUACCUGUCAGUAUUUUGAGAAGGUUUUCACUGCUCCAGCCGUACUUGGCCUUGGGAAUGGCAGCUGAGAUUUAAUGCUUUUCUCUCCUUUUGUUUUUGGAACUCAAAAGUAUAUAAUUUCACUUGUUUUCCAGUGUAACAAUUCAGGUCAGGGCCAGUCUACCUACUGAAUGUAAUAGUUCUUUCUAGGGUAUGGCUGAGGCUCAUGUAGGAGUGAGAACACAGUCCUGGCAUAUGCCUCUGUGUGUGUAUCUAAUAACUGUCUCCUAGCCGGCUACUAUGUGUGAGCCUAAAGGACUCCAGUGAUUAAACGGGGCAUUUCGUGCCUCACAGGAUUCGCAGUCUGGUAAAUUUUUACUUGUAGCAAAUGAAGUCUCUAAACUCUCCUAUGUCCUGUUUUCUCAAAGCUCUUUGGAAAGAAAAGUCAGACUCAUUGGAAGAAAGAACAGAGUUAAGCAUAAAUGUUAAAAAAAAAAGAUAAAUAUUUAAAAAAGAAAGGGAAGAAAAACCGAGAUUUUAGUUUGUAGGUUUAAAAUUUAAUUUGAUGUAGUUCAGCAAACACUCACGGAGGGCCUGUGUCCCCUGGAUGGAUUCUGAGGACAAAAGAUGAGUAAGGACCUGGAGGGCGCAUGCGACUGUAAAUACUGCUGUGAAGGAAGUGCCACGUGGCUCCAAGACUCCCCAUGGACCUCAGAAGGCGCGCAGAGCCUCUCCCAUCAGAAGGAGCAGGCGCAGAGCCCCUCCUCAAUCCCCUCCUAGGUCUGUGCCUUGCACCAAAUGACAAAACCAGUUACACCCGUGUUGCGAAGGGCGUAGGCUAGAACACAAGCAUUCCAGUACAAAUGCAUUUUUUUAAUCAUUCACAAGUCGUUACACUUUUGCAUGUGGAACUGGAAGAUUCUGAGGGCUGGAGGUGAGCUAAGCCAGAAGCUGCUGCUGUUUUAAUUUGUCAGGCUUCUGCUGUCUUUAAACAAACCAGACCCCUGUCCUUUGACCUCGAAUCUCUGCAUUUCUCAUUCCUCACAGCUUCUGGGAAGGCGGUCUUCAGGCACGUCUUCCUCACUGGCUUCCCAGCCACUCCACAAUCUUACCGUCUAGAUUCCGGUACUUCUACUUCCACAAGAGCUCUUACUCAGUGAUUUCCUACUUGCUAAAUCUAAAGAACAAUUUCCUUCCCUUCUCUCCAAACAUAUGCGAUGGCUUAACUUAAACUCUCAUCACCUCCUUCUGUCCUUGAUUGCUAUCAUAAUGGCCCGUUCUCUCUCAACAGACCUUAUGAGUUAUCAUCCAAUUAUCCCAUGAUGCUAAUCUCCCUCCACCGUUUGCAUGGUGGUUCAAACCAACACCCAUCAAUAAAUCCAAACCGUAAGCACUAUCCCAGUUUUAAGUUUCCCGACUUUCUCAACGUGAGUUUUGGGGUACUCAGCCUGCAAAGUCCCUCUCUUUCCAUGAACCAACGUCACCCCUUUCGUUCACUGACACAAGGGAAGAACUUACGAAUUACCUGAGAUACUUCCUCCCCCCCCCCCCACCCACCACGGCACGUGAAUGCACAGAAGUCUGAAUUCUUUUCUUCCAUUCUGCCCCCUACUUUGCUACCUCACUGCUGUGAUUUAGGGCACUUCUCAGGCUCACCUCUGAGAGUGAUAAGGAGAAUGGUAGUGGAAUUGAUGUCUCCCUUCAACUGUUUAUCCUCUCGUUAAAAUGUAGGCUGAGGUUUUCCAUUUAGGGUUCUUGAAUACUUCAACCUCCACCCACCAACGAAAGGUUUGGGAGAAAGAUGGUUAACAGGACAAGGAUGUUGUGGGCCUGCUUAGAAGUAGUCCUUUGGGGUGAUUCCGAUCUUCAUUGUCAGGAGACCAGAAGUCUAGUCCAAUAGCAAACACCAAACACAAAUCAUCGUGUCAGUCCAGUAGCAGACACCAGAUAUGAAUCAACAGCAGCUGCUCUAUCCAGCAGAAACCACAAGGCUCCACCAAAUCUGCACAAGUCAGCAGAAGCAGCAAGAAGCAGCCAGAAUUCCACGGGAAGUUCUUUGUCACAUUUCUCUCCACAAAGUUAGGACAAGAGAAGACCAGCAAAGUG
ensembl:lncRNA